AGAGUUUGAUCAUGGCUCAGGACGAACGCUGGCGGCGUGCUUAACACAUGCAAGUCGAGCGGAAAGGCCCUUCGGGGUACUCGAGCGGCGAACGGGUGAGUAACACGUGAGUAACCUGCCCUGGACUUUGGGAUAACCCUCGGAAACGGGGGCUAAUACCGGAUACGACGCACUCUCGCAUGGGAUGUGUGUGGAAAGUUUUUCGGUCUGGGAUGGGCUCGCGGCCUAUCAGCUUGUUGGUGGGGUGAUGGCCUACCAAGGCGACGACGGGUAGCCGGCCUGAGAGGGCGACCGGCCACACAGGGACUGAGACACGGCCCAGACUCCUACGGGAGGCAGCAGUGGGGAAUAUUGCACAAUGGGCGGAAGCCUGAUGCAGCGACGCCGCGUGAGGGAUGACGGCCUUCGGGUUGUAAACCUCUUUUGUCAGGGACGAUGAUGACGGUACCUGACGAAUAAGCCACGGCUAACUACGUGCCAGCAGCGGCGGUAAUAC
rnacentral:rRNA from 1 species